rnacentral:rRNA from 1 species
AGCAGCCGCGGUAAUUCCAGCUCCAAUAGCGUAUAUUAAAGUUGUUGCAGUUAAAAAGCUCGUAGUUGAAUUUCGAGACCGGCUUACUGGUCGUGCUUUUGUACGUACUGGUGUAAUCGGUUUCUCCUUUCUGACGAACUAUAAUGCCAUUAAUUUGGUGUUAUAGGGAAUCAGGACUGUUACUUUGAAAAAAUUAGAGUGUUUAAAGCAGGCUCACGCUUGAAUACAUUAGCAUGGAAUAACGGAAUAGGACGUUUGAUUCUAUUUUGUUGGUUUCUAGGAUCGACGUAAUGAUUAAUAGGGAUAGUUGGGGGCAUUAGUAUUCAAUUGUCAGAGGUGAAAUUCUUGGAUUUAUUGAAGACUAACCACUGCGAAAAGCAUUUGCCAAGGAUGUUUUCAUUAAUCAAGAACGAAAGUUAGGGAUCGAAGACGAUCAGAUACCGUCGUAGUCUUAACCAUAAACUAUGCGACUAGGGAUCGGAUGAUGUUAAUUUUUAAUGUACUCAUUCGGCGCCUUACG